rnacentral:tRNA from 1 species
GCGAAAGUAGCUCAGUUGGUAGAGCACAACCUUGCCAAGGUUGGGGUCGCGGGUCCGAGUCCCGUCUUUCGCUCAA